ensembl:lncRNA
GAUCUCCUGGAGGCCACUCCUUAAACACGUCAGUGCUCCAUUUUAAAGCAGAGAGUCGAGGAUCAAGGAUUGUCAGAAAACAGAAUGCAACCUACAAUGAACCAGCCAGACACCAAAUGUGUCUUGGCAAUAUUUGUGGCUGCGUCGAGUACUCUUUGUGUAGCAGCAUGCCCAGAGAACCAUUUCCAAGUUCAAAAAAUGCUGUGCUGCUUGAACUGCCAAUAUGGUGAGUAUGUUGCCCGCAACUGCUCUGAAGGGCCCAGAGGCCACAUUGGUGUGCUAUGUAAUACAUGCCGCAGAUGUGAAGAAAUUGGAGAGGUAACUGUUUCCAAUUGCACACAGUUUUCAGACACACAGUGUGCCAGCAUACACACGCAACAGAUAACCAUGCAUGGUUGCUCGUCUGUGAUAGCCGCUGUUGUCAUUCUGGGUGUGAUUCUGGCAGCCUGCUUCUUUCGCAGAAUCAGUAAAUCUGGUGAAUCUGAUGGAGGCUCUGCAGGAGAACCAUUCCCUAUAUCCGUAUAA